rnacentral:rRNA from 1 species
GACGAACGCUGGCGGCGUGCCUAAUACAUGCAAGUCGAACGAGAGCGCCCGGUGCUUGCACUGGUCAAUCUAGUGGCGAACGGGUGAGUAACACGUGGGUAACCUGCCCAUCAGAGGGGGAUAACAUCCGGAAACGGAUGCUAAAACCGCAUAGGUCUUCGAACCGCAUGGUUUGAAGAGGAAAAGAGGCGCAAGCUUCUGCUGAUGGAUGGACCCGCGGUGCAUUAGCUAGUUGGUGAGGUAACGGCUCACCAAGGCCGUGAUGCAUAGCCGACCUGAGAGGGUGAUCGGCCACAUUGGGACUGAGACACGGCCCAAACUCCUACGGGAGGCAGCAGUAGGGAAUCUUCCGCAAUGGACGCAAGUCUGACGGAGCAACGCCGCGUGAGUGAAGAAGGUGUUCGGAUCGUAAAACUCUGUUGUUAGAGAAGAACAAGUGCUAGAGUAACUGUUAGCGCCUUGACGGUAUCUAACCAGAAAGCCACGGCUAACUACGUG